rnacentral:rRNA from 1 species
UGGGGAAUAUUGCGCAAUGGGGGAAACCCUGACGCAGCAACGCCGCGUGAAGGAUGAAGGUCUUCGGAUUGUAAACUUUUAUCGGGUGGGACGAAUAAUGACGGUACCACAGUAAGAAGCCCCGGCUAACUACGUGCCAGCAGCCGCGGUAAUACGUAGGGGGCAAGCGUUAUCCGGAAUUACUGGGUGUAAAGGGUGAGUAGGCGGUUAUACAAGUCACAUGUGUAAAUCCAGUGCUUAACGCUGGACGCGCAUGAGAAACUGUAUAGCUUGAGUGUGGGAGAGGUAAGCGGAAUUCCUAGUGUAGCGGUGAAAUGCGUAGAUAUUAGGAAGAACACCAGUGGCGAAGGCGGCUUACUGGACCACAACUGACGCUGAUUCACGAAAGCGUGGGGAGCAAACA